rnacentral:snRNA from 1 species
GUGCUCGCUUCAACAGCACAUAUACUAAAAUUGGAAUGAUACAGAGAAGAAUAGCAUGGGCCCUGUGCAAGGAUGACUUUGCAAAUUUGUGAAGCAUUCCAUAAUUUU